rnacentral:misc_RNA from 1 species
GGGGGGUGUGGGGGUUAGGGGGCAAGAACAGAAAAAUCCUGACAAGAUGUUUAGAGAUAACAUCUAAUAAGUUUGAUGCAUGGAAACAUGGAUGAAGUCAUGUAUAAGUGUAUACAAUAAAAUUGUUACAAUAACAAGCUCGUCCCAUCUCUCAUUUAACAGGAGAGAUUCUCACAUCUGUUUGACUUUAUGGCUGGAGUUGCACAAAAGCAAAUGAUUGACAAGCAACAGUUCCAAGGACUGUUGUGAAGGCACUAUUAACUCAUGUUGUAUUAGCCAUCUAGUUUCUUGAAAUCACACGGACAAUUAGCAAUUAACUUAAGGAUUUGGAAACCAGUAAACAUUCAGAUUCAAAAUGCAAAUUUGUUAGCAGAAAUAAUAUCUCAAAGGAAAAGCUGGAGGUUCUCAUGGAGAUGCAGCAGCAGCAUCAUUGCCGCUAGUUGCACCAAUGACAAUGCAUGCAUAACAGUGGCCAGCAGCUAUUGUGACACCAUUCCCGCUUUUAGAUGUAUAUCUUCUAAACAUCUUCAGAUAUCCUCUAACAAUGUAAUAUAAUUUACUAGAUGAUGAACAGAUACAACAAUAACUGCUGACGUACCUGAGCUGAAUCAAUACUUUCGCGAUGAAACUGGCAAAUUUUCCCCAAAGCAGAAACAGCAUUAUCAUAUGCCAUCACAUUUUCAGGUUGCUUAGCAUUAGGAUGCCGUAUCACAACAUUUAGUCUUGAAAGAGCCUCUCCAACAAGAGGUUUAAAUACAGAGCCACCAAACUCUGCACAAACU